CACACACUUGUACACUCCUGUAUCUGCAGUCCUCACACCCUCAAGCAGCAGAGAGAAGUUGCCUUUGGGGAUUUCCUGAGGGAAGAAGUGGGCUCUGCCCCUGUAGGCGUCCCCCUGUGAUUCAGGUCUGCUCUGACCCCCCUGGAAUAGGUGCACGAUGGUGUCUGAAUCAGUCCUUCUCCAGUCCACCUCCAGCUCCUCCAAAGGCAGGGGUCUGUCCACAAAGCAGGGCAGCAGUACAGCUCCUCCCAGCCGGGCUGUUAGAGGACCAGCAGAGCCGUGUAGCAGGAAA